AAUUCGCCCUUAGAGUUUGAUCCUGGCUCAGAUUGAACGCUGGCGGCAUGCCUUACACAUGCAAGUCGAACGGUAACGCGGGGCAACCUGGCGACGAGUGGCGAACGGGUGAGUAAUAUAUCGGAACGUGCCCAGUCGUGGGGGAUAACUGCUCGAAAGAGCAGCUAAUACCGCAUACGACCUGAGGGUGAAAGCGGGGGAUCUUCGGACCUCGCGCGAUUGGAGCGGCCGAUAUCAGAUUAAGUAGUUGGUGGGGUAAAGGCCUACCAAGCCGACGAUCUGUAGCUGGUCUGAGAGGACGACCGGCCACACUGGGACUGAGACACGGCCCAGACUCCUACGGGAGGCAGCAGUGGGGAAUUUUGGACAAUGGGGGCAACCCUGAUCCAGCCAUGCCGCGUGCGGGAAGAAGGCCUUCGGGUUGUAAACCGCUUUUGUCAGGGAAGAAAUCCUUUGGGCUAAUAACUCGGAGGGAUGACGG
rnacentral:rRNA from 1 species